rnacentral:rRNA from 1 species
CAACAGUGAUUUCCUUAGUAAUGGCGAAUGAAACGGAAACMSCCCAUCGCCGAACGGCAGGCCCUCUCGGUCUCGCUGAAUGUGGCGUUUGGGAGAGUCUUAUCGCGGUGUGGACGGCCAGUCAAAGUCCAACUUGACAGUGGCCAUGGCCCAUAGAGGGUGCUAGGCCCGUAAGGCGGCUGUCCCACUGUGCUGACUUUUCCCUAGAGUCGGAUUGCUUGGGAGUGCAGUCCAAAGUGCGAGGUAAACUCCUCGUAAGGCUAAAUAUGACCCCGAGUCCGAUAGCAAACAAGUACCGUGAGGGAAAAUUGAAAAGAACUUUGAAGAGAGAGUUCAGUCAUAGCUGUUUCC